rnacentral:lncRNA from 1 species
AUGGACUGCCGUGUCCAGGGGCCACUCUGGAGCCACUUAUGGACAGUCUGGGCUGCCUGGGCCCCCACAAGGUCCCCGAGAUGGUGUCACAGGGGCUCGGCUUUGGGGCUGGACUCCGGGGGAGGGCCUGGGCGAUGCGGGGGGACUCGGAGCAUCUAUUCAAAGGGAACAGCUCCUGGAAAUGACCCAGACGCCUCCAAGAUCUCUUGGCCUCCAGGAGCUGGUCCCGUUCCCUCCUGCAGAACCCGAGGGCAGGGUCCCAGCAGGGUCCCUCAGCAGGCCGGACCUGCCACCGCUGCUUAUGCUCCCCUGGCAGAGAGCCCCCGCCUCACCCGGCCCCAUCGGCCUGUCCAGACUCAAGGCUGCCUCUGGGCGCCAGAAAUAGGAAGAGGCCGUAGCAGGCCCCGAGGUCUGCGGGCCGGCCCGGCUGGGGGAGGAGCCACAGCCUUCCCCCAAGUGCACCCCCUCUUUGCGGUCUCCAGGGCACCCUCAGAGGGCCCUUCCUCAAGCAUGAGAUGGAAGAUGGCCCCGCGCUGGGGAACGCUGGUGCGGGGUGGCUCACGCUGGUCUCGAACCUGGUUCCUCUGGGAAAUGCUUGUUCUAACUGGCCCCGCCGCCCCAGAACGUGCAAGCCCCAGCCGGGCAGGAAGCCAAGGGCCCAUCGGCCAGGCUGAGGGACGUCCCAGUGGCCUCUCUGCCCAGAGAUCUUCCCCGCAGCCUGGGACUCGGUAUCCGCACCGUGGAAGGAGCCACGCGCGCCCAGAGAGGACUCCAGGUGUCUGCUGGCACCGAGCGGGGGCACAGGGGGAGGGCCUGGCACGUGGCUUUGAGAGGGGCAGAGUAGGCCCCCUCCCGGCUCACCAGCAGGCAGAGGCCUGGUGGGAGGCUGGGCUCCCGGGGCCUGCUCUCCGUCAGGCAGGCUGGACAAAUUGGAAGCGACACCCUCACCCGGGCCCUUUGGGCUUCCUGCCUUCCUGGGGUCACGUGGGGCGGAGGGGCCUCCCAGCCGCCUCAAGCCCCCUCCCCAUGAGUUGCCCAUGUGCCACCUGGCAUCCCUCCCUGCCAGGUGCCAGGAAGAACGUGGGCAUGGGGGUAUAUUUUCCAGAAAUAGCCCUCCUGGCCUGGCCACUGCAGAGAAGCCCCUGGGUGAUGUACCAGGGAAUCCUUGUCGUGUUCCAGCCCCCGCCAGGCCCCUGGCCCUCUAGCCCAGGAUCUGGGCGGCCCACGUGA